rnacentral:rRNA from 1 species
CCACCACUAAGCCAGUGGUGAACUCCACAUCCGCAUCCUUUGCUGAGGAUACGGUUAACGGAGCGAAAGCGACGUUCAACCGCAAAACAAGCAGAGGGGGCUUAGUGGUGGGGUGACUGCGUACCUUUUGUAUAAUGGGUCAGCGACUUAUAUUCUGUAGCAAGGUUAACCGUAUAGGGGAGCCGGAGGGAAACCGAGUCUUAACCGGGCGUUAAGUUGCAGGGUAUAGACCCGAAACCCGGUGAUCUAGCCAUGGGCAGGUUGAAGGUUGGGUAACACUAACUGGAGGACCGAACCGACUAAUGUUGAAAAAUUAGCGGAUGACCUGUGGCUGGGGGUGAAAGGCCAAUCAAACCGGGAGAUAGCUGGUUCUCCCCGAAAGCUAUUUAGGUAGCGCCUCGUGAAUUCAUCUCCGGGGGUAGAGCACUGUUUCGGCUAGGGGGCCAUCCCGGCUUACCAACCCGAUGCAAACUGCGAAUACCGGAGAAUGUUAUCACGGGAGACACACGGCGGGUGCUAACGUCCGUCGUGAAGAGGGAAACAACCCAGACCGCCAGCUAAGGUCCCAAAGUCAUGGUUAAGUGGGAAACGAUGUGGGAAGGCCCAGACAGCCAGGAUGUUGGCUUAGAAGCAGCCAUCAUUUAAAGAAAGCGUAAUAGCUCACUGGUCGAGUCGGCCUGCGCGGAAGAUGUAACGGGGCUAAACCAUGCACCGAAGCUGCGGCAGCGAACGUAUCACCCAAGACAACUUUACGGAGUUGACGAUUGACGGAGCGAAGCGACGUCAAAGCGUUCAUUAAAGUCGAGUUGGCUUAGGGAUACGUUCGUUGGGUAGGGGAGCGUUCUGUAAGCCUGUGAAGGUGUGUCGUGAGGCAUGCUGGAGGUAUCAGAAGUGCGAAUGCUGACAUAAGUAACGAUAAAGCGGGUGAAAAGCCCGCUCGCCGGAAGACCAAGGGUUCCUGUCCAACGUUAAUCGGGGCAGGGUGAGUCGACCCCUAAGGCGAGGCCGAAAGGCGUAGUCGAUGGGAAACGGGUUAAUAUUCCCGUACUUGGUGUUACUGCGAAGGGGGGACGGAGAAGGCUAUGUUGGCCGGGCGACGGUUGUCCCGGUUUAAGCGUGUAGGUGUGUGUUCCAGGUAAAUCCGGUU